rnacentral:lncRNA from 1 species
GUCCCUUCCUGCCCUUAUAUCAUUCCUGCGCUGAAAAAGCUUAUUCUCUUACCAAAUAUAUACAAGCAGAGAGCUAACAGGGUUAGCUAUAUCUAUUUGAAAAAUUUUAAAUCAUUUUUCAACUGUCAAUUCCUCAUUUGCUUGAUUACAUGUACAUUUUACACCUUUUCCUUAACAAGUGAGCCAAGAUCGUGUGUUUUUUCAUCCAUGGCUUGGAGUCUAGGAGAGAAGGAGGAUGAGGAAGAAAAUAAUUUGAAGAUUUUACAGAGAGAAGGGAUUGAAAUUUUCACUGGAAUGGAAUGACUGGAAUAAACAAAGUCAAUCAUGCCAGGCAGCGUAACUGAAAGCAUUUUAUAUUUUAAGUUUCAGACAUAACCCCUCAAAACCAAAGCGGAACCUCUUCAAGGAGCUGAGAGAUGCAAGCCUGGAUAUGCUAAGCCUAAUAGUUUCCAUUUUGCCAACGAUCAAGAUGUGAUUUCCCCCCUGAUCUCUGUCCUUGGAAUUUCAUUUUCCUGAGAUGGGGAAAGGAAUGGAGCCUCUCCACCCUCUUUUGGGUGCU